GUGUCAGCAGCCGCGGUAAUACGUAGGGGGCAAGCGUUGUCCGGAUUCAUUGGGCGUAAAGAGCUCGUAGGCGGUUCAGUAAGUCGGGUGUGAAAGCUCCGAGCUCAACUCGGAGAGGCCACCCGAUACUGCUGUGACUUGAGUCCAGUAGAGGAGCGUGGAAUUCCUGGUGUAGCGGUGAAAUGCGCAGAUAUCAGGAGGAACACCAGCAGCGAAGGCGGCGCUCUGGGCUGGAACUGACGCUGAGGAGCGAAAGCGUGGGUAGCAAACAGGAUUAGAUACCCCCGUAGUCC
rnacentral:rRNA from 1 species